UGGGGAAUCUUGCGCAAUGGCCGAAAGGCUGACGCAGCGACGCCGCGUGUGGGAGGAAGCUCUUCGGGGUGUAAACCACUGUUGCCCGGGACGAACGAUGAGCAUUGGCUCAUGUGACGGUACCGGGUGAGGAAGCACCGGCUAACUCUGUGCCAGCAGCCGCGGUAAUACAGAGGGUGCGAGCGUUGUCCGGAAUCACUGGGCGUAAAGGGCGCGUAGGCGGCUCGGUAAGCGUGCGGUGAAAGCCCGGGGUCUCAACCCCGGGUCGGCCGUGCGAACUGCAGAGCUGGAGCACUGUAGAGGCAGGUGGAAUUCCGGGUGUAGCGGUGGAAUGCGUAGAGAUCCGGAAGAACACCGGUGGCGAAGGCGGCCUGCUGGGCAGUAGCUGACGCUGAUGCGCGACAGCGUGGGGGGAGCAAACAGGAUUAGAUACCC
rnacentral:rRNA from 1 species